rnacentral:rRNA from 1 species
CCUACGGGUGGCAGCAGUGGGGAAUAUUGGGCAAUGGGCGCAAGCCUGACCCAGCAACGCCGCGUGAAGGAAGAAGGCUUUCGGGUUGUAAACUUCUUUUCUCAGGGACGAAGCAAGUGACGGUACCUGAGGAAUAAGCCACGGCUAACUACGUGCCAGCAGCCGCGGUAAUACGUAGGUGGCAAGCGUUAUCCGGAUUUACGGGGUGUAAAGGGCGUGUAGGCGGGACGGCAAGUCAGAUGUGAAAACCACGGGCUCAACCUGGGGCCUGCCUUUGAAACUGUAGGUCUUGAGUGCUGGAGAGGCAGACGGAAUGCCUGGUGUAGCGGUGAAAUGCGUAGAUAUUAGGAGGAACACCAGUGGCGAAGGCGGUCUGCUGGCCAGCAACUGACGCUGAGGCGCGAAAGCGUGGGGAGCAAACAGGAUUAGAUACCCCAGUAGUC